AACGAACGCUGGCGGCAGGCUUAACACAUGCGAGUCGAGCGCCCCGCAAGGGGAGCGGCAGACGGGUGAGUAACGCGUGGGAACGUACCUUUUGGUUCGGAACAACUCCGGGAAACUGGAGCUAAUACCGGAUAAGCCCUAACGGGGAAAGAUUUAUCGCCGAAAGAUCGGCCCGCGUCUGAUUAGCUAGUUGGUGAGGUAACGGCUCACCAAGGCGACGAUCAGUAGCUGGUCUGAGAGGAUGAUCAGCCACACUGGGACUGAGACACGGCCCAGACUCCUACGGGAGGCAGCAGUGGGGAAUAUUGGACAAUGGGCGCAAGCCUGAUCCAGCCAUGCCGCGUGAGUGAUGAAGGCCUUAGGGUUGUAAAGCUCUUUUGUCCGGGAAGAUAAUGACUGUACCGGAAGAAUAAGCCCCGGCUAACUUCGUG
rnacentral:rRNA from 1 species